rnacentral:rRNA from 1 species
GGUUAAGCGACUAAGCGUACACGGUGGAUGCCCUGGCAGUCAGAGGCGAUGAAGGACGUGCUAAUCUGCGAUAAGCGCCGGUAAGGUGAUAUGAACCGUUAUAACCGGCGAUUUCCGAAUGGGGAAACCCAGUGUGACUCGUCACACUAUCAUUAACUGAAUCCAUAGGUUAAUGAGGCGAACCGGGGGAACUGAAACAUCUAAGUACCCCGAGGAAAAGAAAUCAACCGAGAUUCCCCCAGUAGCGGCGAGCGAACGGGGAGGAGCCCAGAGCCUGAAUCAGCAUGUGUGUUAGUGGAAGCGUCUGGAAAGGCGCGCGAUACAGGGUGACAGCCCCGUACACAAAAGCGCGUGUGCUGUGAGCUCGAUGAGUAGGGCGGGACACGUGGUAUCCUGUCUGAAUAUGGGGGGACCAUCCUCCAAGGCUAAAUACUCCUGACUGACCGAUAGUGAACCAGUACCGUGAGGGAAAGGCGAAAAGAACCCCGGCGAGGGGAGUGAAAAAGAACCUGAAACCGUGUACGUACAAGCAGUGGGAGCCCCACCACUAAGCCAGUGGUGAACUCCACAUACGCAUCCUUUGCUGAGGAUACGGUUAACGGAGCGAAAGCGACGUUCAACCGCAAAAGAAGCAGAGGGGGCUUAGUGGUGGGGUGACUGCGUACCUUUUGUAUAAUGGGUCAGCGACUUAUAUUCUGUAGCAAGGUUAACCGAAUAGGGGAGCCGCAGGGAAACCGAGUCUUAA